CCUUCAUGCUUUUGUCUUUUGACCGAUCAUAGUAGCAGACGUCUCUCGUGAUUUGCUGGGACAUUUACGACGAGGUUUGAAAUUAUAUCAAACUCGAUUCUUUUUAGGAAAGGAACUUCUCUUAGAACUUUAUCAGUACGUACAGAUAAUAAAAUUUUUAUAGAAGGAGACAUUAUAUUGAUCAAACGUAAUUGCUAGAACAUCAGUCAAGACAGCACACAAGAAGAUGAGUUUCAAAAUAAGCUUGUUAUUCGUACUUAUUGCCUUUAGCGUGUUUACGCAUGGCCAAAGACCACCUUCUCUUAGUAAAACAAGGUCGAGGCUGCCUGCAGAAUGUCACUAUUUAUUACACACUGGUGAUCGUUCUUUUCAUCGUUCCAAGAAUAUAACGAGGUAUUAUUUUAAUGUGACCAGUGGACAAUGUUUACCUUUUACAUACACGGGUUACGGAGGCAAUAGAAAUAAUUUUGCAUCUUAUACAGAAUGCAUGAAUAGAUGCGGUCGGGGAUACAUAUCUUCCCGAGCUUACCGAAGUAUCAAAUUUGAAAAACAUUGACAAUUGAUAAGUAUUUGUAAUAGUUAGAUAUUGAAUUUUAAUGAAAAUACUAUAUAAAAAUUCUGUGAUCUUUAUUAAAUACUUGUAAAAGUGUUUUAUUU